UUCGUAACCAGAUCUGAAUGUUACUUAUAAAUAUAAAAGAAACGACUUUGUACAGAGCUGAAAACUUCCCCUUCGAAAAUCUAGAGAACAUCAACCAAAAGGUGGGUUAUUUGCGGUGAAGUAUGAAAACGACACUUGUUGUAGUUCUUGUCGUCUGCUUGUUGUUGGGCUGUUUCAUUCUUCCUGAAGUUGAAGGUCAGGGCUCAGAUGUUAGAAGAGAAAUAUAUCGUAGAAGAUAUGGUGGAAGAAUUAUUGGUGAAUAUGUUGGAGGAUAUCGUGACUAUGGAAGAUAUCAGGGAUAAAUAAAGGUUACAUACAUCAACAGUUUAAGAUAAUCAGACCAGGAACUUGCAAGAGACUUAUCAUUAUGGAUUAUGGAUUUUCUAAGAAAUGUUUACAAAAACUGGUGUAGGUUUUAUUUUGUAAAGUAGAAUACUAGAUAGCCCAUAGAAUAGUUUUACAAUCAAUAAACUGUAAGUGAAUAAACAGUUGUAUACUUCA